CCUACGGGUGGCAGCAGUGAGGAAUAUUGGUCAAUGGGCGCAAGCCUGAACCAGCCAAGUCGCGUGAGGGAAGACGGCCCUACGGGUUGUAAACCUCUUUUGCCGGGGAGCAAGCCUGAGCACGUGUGCACCGGCGGAGAGUCACUGGAGAAAAAGCAUCGACUAACUCCGUGCCAGCAGCCGCGGUAAUACGGAGGAUGCGAGCGUUAUCCGGAUUUAUUGGGUUUAAAGGGUGCGCAGGCGGGCUGUUAAGCCGGCGGUAAAAAUUCAGGGCUCAACCCUGUCGAGCCGUCGGAACUGGCAGUGUUGAGUGGGCGGGAAGUAUGCGGGAAGCGUGGUGUAGCGGGGAAAUGCAUAGAUAUCACGCAGAACGACGAUUGCGAAGGCAGCAUACCGGCGCCCAACUGACGCUGGGGCACGAAAGCGUGGGGAUCGAACAGGAUUAGAUACCCGAGUAGUC
rnacentral:rRNA from 1 species